AUUGAACGCUGGCGGCAGGCCUAACACAUGCAAGUCGAACGGUAACAGGAAGAAGCUUGCUUCUUUGCUGACGAGUGGCGGACGGGUGAGUAAUGUCUGGGAAACUGCCUGAUGGAGGGGGAUAACUACUGGAAACGGUAGCUAAUACCGCAUAACGUCGCAAGACCAAAGAGGGGGACCUUCGGGCCUCUUGCCAUCGGAUGUGCCCAGAUGGGAUUAGCUAGUAGGUGGGGUAACGGCUCACCUAGGCGACGAUCCCUAGCUGGUCUGAGAGGAUGACCAGCCACACUGGAACUGAGACACGGUCCAGACUCCUACGGGAGGCAGCAGUGGGGAAUAUUGCACAAUGGGCGAAAGCCUGAUGCAGCCAUGCCGCGUGUAUGAAGAAGGCCUUCGGGUUGUAAAGUACUUUCAGCGGGGAGGAAGGGAGUAAAGUUAAUACCUUUACUCAUUGACGUUACCCGCAGAAGAAGCACCGGCUAACUCCGUG
rnacentral:rRNA from 1 species